GUAAGGACCUUGUUAAAACGCAGUUUCUGACUCAGUAGUGUGAAUGGGGCCAGAAUGCUGCAUUUCUAACACUCUCCCAGAUGGUGCCAAUGUUCCUCAUCCACAGACCACAGCUGAAGUAGCAACUAUGUAAACCUCAGGCUACUCAUCACAGUGCAGAGUGAUUUCACCUAAAGGCACAACAGCAGCUGAUUGCCACAAUACAAACAAGAGCCGCCACUUACUGACAGCAGCUACGUGCCAGGUAAGUCAAAUGAGGAAGAACACCUUCAGUGUGGGGGAGAAAUGGGUCUUCAACGUCAUCUUAGACCAGUGGCUCUCAAAGUAUAUAACAGCAGCGUCAACAUCAGCAUUAUCUGGGAACGUGUUGGAGAUGUGAAUUCUUGGGUUCCACUUCAGACAACGAAUCAGAAAUUCUGGGGGGAAGCCUCAUUUCUGUUCACCAGGCCUUUCGAUGAUUUAAUCAGGCCCUCCAGGAUUAUCUAGGAUAAUAUUCCUUACUUAAAUCCAACUGAAUAUGAGUUUUCAUACAUCUACAAAUACCCUCAAAGCAAAAUCUAAAUUAGUACUUAAAGGAAUAUUUGUGGACUGUAGCCUGGUCAAGUUGACACAUAAAGUUGACCAUCAUGGAGCGUCAGAAGAAAUAUCUCUCUGAUCGCCCUUGGAAAAAUUGUACUGGUACCUGCUUAUGAGGCUCCCAGUGGUACAGAAGACAGCUGUCUGCUCACCAAGAAGAGGACCCUCAUCAGACACUGGAUCUACUGGCAUCUUGAUCUUGGAUUUUCUAGCCUCUUUAACUGUGAGAAAUAAAAUGUUUAAG
rnacentral:lncRNA from 1 species